UGGGGAAUCUUGCACAAUGGGCGAAAGCCUGAUGCAGCAACGCCGCGUGCGGGAAGACAGCCCUAGGGUUGUAAACCGCUUUCAGCAGGGAAGAAACUGACGGUACCUGCAGAAGAAGAUGCGGCCAACUACGUGCCAGCAGCCGCGGUGACACGUAGGCAUCAAGCGUUAUCCGGAUUUAUUGGGCGUAAAGAGCUCGUAGGCGGUUCGGUAAGUCGGGUGUGAAAACUCUGGGCUCAACCCAGAGAGGCCACUCGAUACUGCUGUGACUAGAGUGCGGUAGGGGAGCGGGGAAUUCCUGGUGUAGCGGUGAAAUGCGCAGAUAUCAGGAGGAACACCAGUGGCGAAGGCGCCGCUCUGGGCCGUAACUGACGCUGAGGAGCGAAAGCAUGGGUAGCAAACAGGAUUAGAUACCCUGGUAGUCCAUGCCGUAAACGUUGGCACUAGUGUGGGUCUCAACCAACGAGAUCCGCGCCGUCGCUAACGCAUUAAGUGCCCGCCUGGGAGUACGGUCGCAAGACU
rnacentral:rRNA from 1 species